GACGAACGCUGGCGGCGUGCUUAACACAUGCAAGUCGAACGGUUAACGAGGGAGCUUGCUCCCUCCGGGUCAGUGGCGAACGGGUGAGUAACACGUGAGCAAUCUGCCCCGAACUCUGGGAUAAGCGUUUGAAACGACGUCUAAUACCGGAUGCUACGCGGGAGGGCAUCCUCUCCGCGUUGAUAGAACUUCGGGUCGGGAUGAGCUCGCGGCCUAUCAGCUUGUUGGUGGGGUAACGGCUCACCACGGCGCCGACGGAUAGCCGGCCUGUGAGGUGGGCCGGGGACACUGGGACUGAGGCAGGCACCAGUCGCGUACGGGAGGCAGCAGGGGGGAACAUUGCACAAUGGGCGCAAGCCUGAGGCAGCGACCCCGCGUGAGUGACGACGGCCUGCGGGUUGUAAACAUCUGUUAGCAGGGAAGAAGCGAAAGUGACGGUACCUGCAGAAAAAGCACCGGCUAACUACGUG
rnacentral:rRNA from 1 species